UACGGAGGAUUCAAGCGUUAUCCGGAUUUAUUGGGUUUAAAGGGUGCGUAGGCGGUUUUUUAAGUUAGUGGUUAAACGUCGGGGCUUCACCUUGAUUUGCCAUUAAUACUGUAAGACUCGAGUUCAGACGAGGUAGGCGGAAUAAGUUAAGUAGCGGUGAAAUGCUUAGAUAUAACUUAGAACUCCGAUAGCGAAGGCAGCUCACUAGACUGCAACUGACACUGAUGCUCGAAAGUGUGGGUAUCAAACAGG
rnacentral:rRNA from 1 species